UACGGGGGAGCAAGCGUUGUUCGGAUUUACUGGGCGUAAAGGGCGCGUAGGCGGCCAGCACAAGUCAGUUGUGAAAUCUCCGGGCUUAACUCGGAAAGGUCAACUGAUACUGUGCGGCUAGAGUGCAGAAGGGGCAACUGGAAUUCUCGGUGUAGCGGUGAAAUGCGUAGAUAUCGAGAGGAACACCUGCGGCGAAGCGGGUUGCUGGGCUGACACUGACGCUGAUGCGCGAAAGCCAGGGAGCGAACGGG
rnacentral:rRNA from 1 species